rnacentral:rRNA from 3 species
GGGUUGUGAGGUUAAGCGACUAAGCGUACACGGUGGAUGCCCUGGCAGUCAGAGGCGAUGAAGGGCGUGCUAAUCUGCGAUAAGCGCCGGUAAGGUGAUAUGAACCGUUAUAACCGGCGAUACCCGAAUGGGGAAACCCAGUGUGAUUCGUCACACUAUCAUUAACUGAAUCCAUAGGUUAAUGAGGCGAACCGGGGGAACUGAAACAUCUAAGUA